GGUUCAAUGACAGAAUUCUCGCCUUCCAUGCCAGAGACCUGGGUUCGAUUCCCAG
rnacentral:tRNA from 1 species